rnacentral:rRNA from 1 species
GAUGAACGCUGGCGGCGUGCCUAAUACAUGCAAGUCGAGCGAACAGACGAGGAGCUUGCUCCUCUGACGUUAGCGGCGGACGGGUAAGUAACACGUGGAUAACCUACCUAUAAGACUGGGAUAACUUCGGGAAACCGGAGCUAAUACCGGAUAACAUGUUGAACCGCAUGGUUCAACAGUGAAAGACGGUCUUGCUGUCACUUAUAGAUGGAUCCGCGCCGCAUUAGCUAGUUGGUAAGGUAACGGCUUACCAAGGCAACGAUGCGUAGCCGACCUGAGAGGGUGAUCGGCCACACUGGAACUGAGACACGGUCCAGACUCCUACGGGAGGCAGCAGUAGGGAAUCUUCCGCAAUGGGCGAAAGCCUGACGGAGCAACGCCGCGUGAGUGAAGAAGGUCUUCGGAUUGUAAAACUCUGUUAUUAGGGAAGAACAAAUGUGUAAGUAACUAUGCACGUCUUGACGGUACCUAAUCAGAAAGCCACGGCUAACUACGUG